rnacentral:rRNA from 1 species
CCUACGGGUGGCAGCAGUGGGGAAUAUUGCACAAUGGGGGAAACCCUGAUGCAGCGACGCCGCGUGAAGGAAGACGUAUUUCGGUAUGGAACCUUCUAUCAGCAGGGAAGAAAAUGACGGUACCUGACUAAGAAGCCCCGGCUAACUACGUGCCAGCAGCGGCGGUAAUACGUAGGGUGCAAGCGUUAUCCGGAUUAACUGGGUGUAAUGGGGGCGUAGGCGGGUCAGCAAGUCAGUAGUGAAAGCCCGGGGCUAAACCGCGGGACUGCUUGUGAAACUGGUGAACUAGAUUGCAGGAGGGGUAAGUGGAAUUCCUAGUGUAGCGGUGAAAUGCGUAGAUAGUAGGAGGAACACCAGUGGCGAAGGCGGCUUACUGGACUGUAAAUGACGCUGAGGCUCGAAAGCGUGGGGAGCAAACAGGAUUAGAUACCCCUGUAGUC